UGAGUAACACGUAUCCAACCUGCCGUCUACUCUUGGACAGCCUUCUGAAAGGAAGAUUAAUACAAGAUGGCAUCAUGAGUCCGCAUGUUCACAUGAUUAAAGGUAUUCCGGUAGACGAUGGGGAUGCGUUCCAUUAGAUAGUAGGCGGGGUAACGGCCCACCUAGUCUUCGAUGGAUAGGGGUUCUGAGAGGAAGGUCCCCCACAUUGGGACUGAGACACGGCCCAG
rnacentral:rRNA from 1 species